UACGUAGGGGGCAAGCGUUAUCCGGAUUUACUGGGUGUAAAGGGAGCGUAGACGGCAUGGCAAGUCUGAAGUGAAAGCCCGGGGCUCAACCCCGGGACUGCUUUGGAAACUGUCGGACUAGAGUGUCGGAGGGGUAAGCGGAAUUCCUAGUGUAGCGGUGAAAUGCGUAGAUAUCAGGAGGAACAUCGGUGGCGAAGGCGGCCUGCUGGACUGUAACUGACGUUGAGGUUCGAAAGCGUGGGUAGCAAACAGG
rnacentral:rRNA from 1 species